CAAUAGCGUAUCUUAAUGUUGUUGCAGUUAAAAGCUCGUAGUCGAAUAUCUGGCCGGGAAAACCGAACUUCGUUUGGAGCUUUCCUAGGCCAUCCGCAUGAAAAUUAGUGAUCGUUUGUAGCCUUUGCUUAUGGAUCAUGCACUUUACUUUGAAGAAAUUAGAGUGUUUCAGGCAGGCUAUCGCUUGAAUACACCAGCAUGGAAUAAUGGAAUAGGACUUUUAUCAGUUACUGGUUAAUGAUAUUUGUAAUGAUUAAUAGGGAUAGUUGGGGGCAUUCGUAUUAACGCGUCAGAGGUGAAAUUCUUGGAUUGCGUUACGACGAACUACUGCGAAAGCAUUUGGCAAGGAUGUUUUCAUUGAUCAAGAACGAAAGUGUGGGGAUCGAAGACGAUUAGAUACC
rnacentral:rRNA from 1 species